rnacentral:hammerhead_ribozyme from 1 species
AUCCAACUGACGAGUCCCGAAUACGAAACGCGCGUCCUGGAU